rfam:Picea glauca, whole genome shotgun sequence.
ACAUGCCUGCAUCAUAGUGUUAAUGCACCAUAUCCCAUUAGAACUUCGUAGUUAAGCACACUCAGGCUAGAGUAGUACUGGGAUGGGUGAUCACUCGGGAAGUCCUAGUGUUUUACUUGCC